AAUAUGGUGAAGAGGAUUAGGAAUGAUGAUUCUAAGUAUAAUUUCAUUUGUUUUUGCUGCAAAUUUUUUUUUGUUUUCAAAAUUUGAGCGUUUUUGUUGUUGUAAUUGUAAUGUAGCCCGAAGUCGAAGAAGGUGAAGAGUCUUGGAUCUUCAGGAAAAAUUUUGGCAGUGUCUACUGCUGGGAAGAAGAAAGAGAAAGAUGGUGAUUAUGAUCCAAGAUGUGAUAAAUCCUUGUCUAAGAAGAAAGGCAAAUCUGAUUUAUCACCAAUCAAGUUUUCAUUUUCAAGAUCUAAUCCCGAUCAACAGAAAGACACAUUUGAUAGAUCGAAUUUCACUGAGCAAGAAAUAAAGUCAAUUAAUCUACAAGUAUUGUCAGACUAUUCCCAUUUAAAUG